AAUGCUCUUUUUAAAAACAUGCUCACAUUCUGAUAGAAUUAUUUAUAUUUUUAACAGGGAAUGGCUUCACCAACAGAAACCAAAUAUUCUGGAUGUGACUGACCCUUUGCCAUAAGCCUGAUAAAACAAACCAGGAUAGGCGUCCACAUAUAUAAAGAAAAAGAAAACGUGCAAAAUUGCCUAGUGACUAACAGCCAGAGGAAAUUAACAAGAGUCUGCAUGCAAAUAAAGCGGGGAGCAAGGGUCUCUUCUCUCCAUUUAGGUGUAAAAUACAACGCAAGGUGGGGAAUCUCUCAAAAUAGGAUCCGGAGAAAGCCGUACCCAGCAUAGCCCAUAACCUGUACAUUCGAAGCUAGACCGCACCCCUCACAGCAAACCCCAAGAGUUCAGCCGUUGGUUAUCCGCUCUAAGCAACAGGGCUUCUUUCCAAGACUUAGCUGGGAUGCAGAAUAGAAGCUGGGCCUUUGUCUGACUACCCUGCAACAGUCAGCCACAGACGGGAAGGCAGCGCAGGAAACUGAGGCCAAAGGAGCCGCGCUUCCUCAUGAGCAUGAAGCGGCAAAGCCUGAACUAGAAGCUUCUAACGCCUAACCGUCCUCUUGCCGCACCAGGACCUACCUCUGCAAGGCCCUUCCUGACUUUUUCCUUAGAAUGUGUGUAUAUGUGUCUUUUUCCUUUUCUGAUGCUAAGACACCUCAGAAACACCAAUGUUAAGCAGAUUUCCAUCGUUGGAGGUUAAAACACCCGAAUACAAGUGUUUUCUUGAGUGUGGCAUCUGGUCAGAUGUUUUAUGGGUUGGUUUGUUUUUAAAAAAAAAAAAUUUCCUGUUAGAUGGGUGGUAAGAACCAGUCAGAGUUUGUAAACCCACCAAGCACGAGGCGGUCGGACCGUCCAGAUUCUGGAGUCCAGAAGACACCAAACGUUCUCAGAAUGCCGAACGCGGGCGCCACCUGGUGGGACUAGAACGCUUAUUGUCCCAAAUCAGCAUAGCACACAGUUCCCAUAAAUCUUAAAAAUUCCCAUCCAAGGCUCAUUUCCGUGUGACUAAAAGUCAUAUUCUCUGUUCUCGUGACUCCAAGUAAAAAUGUCCCUAAAGAGCCAAAGUAUCUUCACUGUAUAAACUAAUAAUCUAUUGGUUUGGGGAAUUUUAUUUUUUGUGAUCAAUGUUACUUUAGCCUUUCUAUGAUAUACAUAUAAAUAAAAAAGUUUUCUUCCAUGAUGAUUUUUUAAAGUUUAUUUUAUAAAUAAACUUUUUCUUUUUGUCUCUCCCUUCCCCCACUUUGCAACCAGAGCAAUUCUGCUUUCACAGGGGUUUGUAUUUGGGCUCUUACGAAGCUUUUGUUUGAAGAAAGAGUUCCAUGGCAACGCAAAGAUUGGACGAGGUUACUGUUGAAGUCCCUUCCAGCUCUAAGAUUGCAAAAUUCUAUUAAAUAAUCCCCGUUCUCAGUACUUAUGUAGACACCUCAGACCACUUUACUGCCCUCCCUAAACAGUUGAAUGAGACUUGCCCCCACAUGAUUUCUUACCUCAUUCUGAAUCACUGCUCGUGAGAGGAUUGCAUCCGCAGUCUGUGCUUAAGACACAUCUUCCAGAGCCAAGUGGAAGGGUUCCUGCUCCCUUUCUUGCUCCUAAGGUGGGAAAUACAGAGGCCGCCUUUGUCUUUCGCCUAUUGUUCCCAUGGUCAAGGGAAAGAGGACUCCUCGAGGGUGCUGGAGCUUCAUAAAUCUCUGACCUUAGUGACCCAAUGUUUCUUCAAAGAUCCCCUGUAUGAUGGGGUUAACGUCCCAUAAGGGAUCUGGCAGGAGCCUCCACACCCCUGCUGAGCGCUGCCCUGUCCCCUCCAGCUCCCAAGCAGCUUCCACAUCAUUCAUGCCCUUUCUUCCCCUCCAAAGCCUCAUUCAAGAGUAGUUUAAAAUCACCAUUAUCAUUCUCCAUGCAGUUAAAGUCAGAUUUACCCACCAUGAAUUAGCCAAAAGUCAUAUAAGAUGCAUGUCUGUCCUUUGAAGCCAAUUCCAAGACAUCUGCAAAAUAAGGUACCUGCAAGUUCUAAUACAUUGACUAAGGAAAUAAACAACAGUAAAAAAGAUGCAACUAUUCCAGGAUCUUAAAAACCCACUGGGACAUUCACAAUGUGAUCAAAGUUUCAAAUGCACAGAUUAAGAAAACAUCCCCGUGGCCACAUUUACCUGGA
rnacentral:lncRNA from 10 species